rnacentral:rRNA from 1 species
UACAGAGGGUGCGAGCGUUAAUCGGAAUUACUGGGCGUAAAGCGUGCGUAGACGGUAGCGUAAGUCAGAUGUGAAAGCCCCGGGCUCAACCUGGGAAUUGCAUUUGAGACUGCUCUGCUCGGGUGCGGAAGAGGGAAGCGGAAUUUCCGGUGUAGCGGUGAAAUGCGUAGAUAUCGGAAGGAACACCUGUGGCGAAAGCGGCUCACUGGACCAUAACUGACGCUGAUGCACGAAAGCUGGGGGAGCAACCAGG